CACGUAGGGUGCAAGCGUUGUCCGGAAUCAUUGGGCGUAAAGAGCUCGUAGGCGGCUUGUCGCGUCGUCCGUGAAAACUUGGGGCUCAACCCCAAGCUUGCGGUCGAUACGGGCAGGCUAGAGUUCGGUAGGGGAGACUGGAAUUCCUGGUGUAGCGGUGAAAUGCGCAGAUAUCAGGAGGAACACCGGUGGCGAAGGCGGGUCUCUGGGCCGAUACUGACGCUGAGGAGCGAAAGCGUGGGGAGCGAACAGG
rnacentral:rRNA from 1 species